rnacentral:tRNA from 1 species
GGGAAGGUGGCUCAGUGGUAGAGUGCUUGCCUCGCAUGCAUGAAGCCCUGGGUUUGAUUCCUCAGUUCCA